ensembl:lncRNA
GAACAAUUUUCUAAAUAAGACCCUAAAAGCACAAAACAAAAAGAGAUCAGUUUCCCCAUAGUAACAUCUGUGUAUCAAAGAUAACACAAAGAAGAAAAGACAAGCCCUGAACUAAGGUAUUUGCAACAGAUAGACAAAUACAUAUAUUCUUUUUACAGAUAAGUUUUUAAAAAACAAAUAAUCCUAUAUAAAAAUGACAGCCAAUUUCUAGUAUAGAAAGCCCAGUGACCAAUAAAUGUAGGAAAAGUUUAAAUUUACUGUUAUUAAAGAAAAAAAAUUAAAACUAUAGAAAGUCACCUGUGCCACUGAUGAAAGUUUAAAAUCUGUUAACUCUGAGUUUUGUGGUAGUAUGUAGAAAAUGGAACUCCUAUAGACUCCUCAUAGAAUGUAAAUUGGUCAUUAUUUUCUAGGACAACUUGUCAAUAUCAAAUAAGCUUCAAGAUGCUCAACUAGCACACAGAAAUCUCACUUCUAGAUAAAUAUCAUAGAAGCAACAUCUUUUAUAAAAGCAUAAAUUUGGAAAUGACCUAAAUAUUCUAAUAUUCACCUAAAUAUUGGUAGGUGAAUGGAUAGAUUGGUUUUUGUGGUGUUACAUUAUUUAGCAAUUUAUGUAAAGUUUAGAAACAUGACAAAUAAGAAGUUGUUUGUGGAUAGUUAUUUAUAAAAUUAUGAAGAAUUUCUGGGAAAUGAUGAAAAUCAAGAUCAAGAUCAUGUUAUUUUGGGAAGGUGGAAGUGGAGACACAGGAACCUUCAAAUGUUUCACUCCAUUAAUUUAAAAAUCUAAAACAAAUAGGGAAAUAUUGAGAUUUGAUAAAGUUGGGUAACAAAUACAUGGGUACUAUUAACAUACUUAAAAUAUGUCAUUAUUUAAAGAAAAUAUUUUACUUCAAUAUUCAAGUUUUAUUUAUUUAUUUAUUCUUAUUUUUUGCUUUUUUAGGGUCACACCCACAGCAUAUGGAAGUUCACAGGCUAGGGGUCAAUUUGGAGCUAUAGCUUCCAGCAUAUGCCACAGUCACAGAAAUGCGUGAUCCAAGAUGCAUCUGCAAUCUACACCACAGCUCAUGGCAAUGCCAGAUCCUUAACCCACUAAGCAAGGCCAGGGAUCAAACCUGAGUCCUCAUGGAUACUAGUUGGGUUCAUUUCCACUGCACCACAAUGGGAACUCUCUUAAGUUUUAUUUUUAGAGAAAUAAGAAAAACAUUCUGAUGUGUCAGUUCAGCUAUCCUUAAUAGCUUCACAGUUAUAGUUAUUUUUAUAAUACUCUUAUUUUUAUAUUUGGGGGCAAUAUUGAUGGAAAGUAGAAAAGUGGGUUAUGGGUUUUUGAAGGGUUUUCUUUUAAUGAUUACUUCUAGCACUUUCUUCUAAGAACUAGAAUAUUCAUUUUGUUUUUUCUUUUUGAAAAGUGGUAACAUCUUUUUGCCUCUAGAGCCACACAGGCUAUUAAAAUCGUGUUUCCAGAGCCCUAUAAUACCUUUGGAAAUUUUUUUCCAAGCAUUUUUCCUGUUAUCUGCUUGAUUAUCAUAGCCACUCGCCUUCCAGUUACCCUAGCACAAUCAAGAAAAAGCCAAGAAAAAGAAAUUUUUAUUGUAUCAUUGAAAUUAUUAUUGGAUGAAGAAGUUAUUGUUGUAUCAUUGUAUUAUUUUAUUGUACUGGGCAACAAAUACAGUUCAGCUAACCAGAUUCCUCCAUCUCGUACUUUAUUCUCUUCCAUACCUAGUACCUGCCAAUUUAAUGUAACAUAUUUAGGGCCCUCAUUUACAAAUUAUCAAGUUAAAUUAUACACUAAGUAGAAAAAAAAUCAUGGCCAUAGUUCUCUGGGACCCUGAAUCAAAUGGCAAGAUCUAUUUCUUGCACAUUAUCAGUCUUCACCAAGAAAAUUAAUUUGCAGGAAGUGUUUUUACUUUUAGCUUUCCAUAAACUAAACCCCAGUUAACCUGAAGUAAAGUGAGGAAUAUUUUAGUGACUCAUUUAUACUUCAUGAGGAAGAAAGCUGACAUUUUGAUACCCUUCUACAUAUCUUUGCCUGAUAUUGACUACCCUCUGUAUUCUUUUAUUCCUCAAAAUAUAGAAUGCACAUGCCUUUUGAUCUGAUCCAGGGAAAACUUCAGGAUAUAAAUGCCAACUUUGUUCCCCAGCCUUGGAAAUUUGCAAACAAAGGGGGGAAAUACGAAAAUCAACAGAGGAAAAGAUGCUUGUGCAAAAGAGAUAACAUUUUCCUAUCCUUUAAAAAAAUUGCUUUUAAAGAAUACUCACUUGCUUGAAAAGUAUAUGGAUGUCAGUUAUUCAACUGUGGCUGAGGUUUAGAAGAAUGUGAGAUGCAUUUCCCCACUCCUGGUUAUGGUAUGCUAAGUUAGAAUUAACUGUAGACCAAAUUUGUCAGAUAUACUCUGAGAUUUUGGCUGAUGAACCCGACUAGCAUCCAUGAGGAUGUGGAUUCCAUCCCUGGCCUCGCUCAGUGGGUUAAGGAUCUGGCAUUGCUGUGAGCUGUAGUGUAGGCAGCACACAUGGCUCAGAUCUCAUGUUGCUGUGGCUCUGGUGUAGGCCGGCAGCUACAGUUCCAUUUGGACUCCUAGCCUGGAAACCUCCAUGUUCCAUCAGUGUGCCCCUAG